rnacentral:lncRNA from 1 species
GGAUAAUCAAGGGCAAGGGGAAAGAAAGUGAUGAGGGAAUGAAGUGCGAUUUAAGAUGGGGUGGUUAGAGAGAGCCUCUCUGCUACUGUUAUGUUGGACAAAGGCAAAAAAAUAAAAUGACAGAACAAUGCAUAAUGGCAGAAACAAUUCCAGGCAGUGGGAGCAGCAAGAGAGUACUCCAAAGCAGGGAUGUUGUUGGUGCAUUGAGGAAUAUUAUUAAAGCCGGUAUAACUGGAGCAAAAGAAUGGAGCAAGAGAGCUAUAUGAGAAGAGUACAGUCAGGAGGAGUGUGUGCUUGUGGGUACAAGUAGAAUGGCAGUGCUCCUUUUGCCUAGAAUUAAGAUGAUGCAGCUGAGACAUCCUUCCUGACAGCCAAGCAGGCUAUUCAGCAGGGCCAAGCCUUACAGGU